UGAGGCAGGAGGAUUGCUUGAGCAUGGA
rnacentral:piRNA from 1 species